rnacentral:rRNA from 1 species
UACGAAGGGGGCUAGCGUUGUUCGGAAUUACUGGGCGUAAAGCGCACGUAGGCGGAUACUUAAGUCAGGGGUGAAAUCCCGGGGCUCAACCCCGGAACUGCCUUUGAUACUGGGUAUCUCGAGUCCGGAAGAGGUAAGUGGAACUGCGAGUGUAGAGGUGAAAUUCGUAGAUAUUCGCAAGAACACCAGUGGCGAAGGCGGCUUACUGGUCCGGUUCUGACGCUGAGGCGCGAAAGCGUGGGGAGCAAACAGG